AUGAUUGUUAUCUUCAGGACUGAGGUGAAAGCUGGAGCAGGUGAUGUGAUUCUGAAGGAAGCACAAAGAAAGAGUUGGGUUGUAUUUGAUACAUGUUUGUAUGUUUCAGCCGUUGAGAGGACGAUGGCAAUCCUGCAGCUCUACAGACUCAUCAAUUCGUCUCUGCUCCUCAGCCAGCGGCCUCUGAACGUCUCGGCCGAGCAGACGGUGUACAGCAGCUGCGCAGACAUGCCCGCCGCGCUCAUCUUCUACCUGGUGCUGCAGCUCAUCAACAUGUUCCUGGGCAUCCCGGCCAACAUCAUGGUUCUGUGGCUCAUUCUUAAGAACAAGGGCGACUCGUCCACCUCCGACAUCUUCAUCGUCCAACUGGCCGUGCUGGACGUGUUCUUCUGCCUCAUUCCUCCGCUGGAGCUGGCCAACAUCGUCUACCUGAGCACCAGCAGCACCUGGUACGUCCUGCGCUUCUUCUACGGCAUCAAAGACUCGUCGCCGCUCUUCUUGUCCUGCAUCUGUCUGGACAGAUAUAUGGCCGUGCUGCAUCCCAUCACCUUCACUGAGCUCAAGGACAAGCGGCAUCGCUCCGUCUGCGCCGCCGGCGUCUGGUUCCUCACUUUGGUCUACGCCGCAGCCAAGUGUGUGGGAAACAUCCCCAACUUCGACAAGGUGUUCACCGUCAUGAUCCUGGCGGCGUUUGCGUUCAUGCUCUUCUGUAACGUCUCCAUUCUCUGGGCUCUGAGACAGUCGGCUCCAGGUCGAGACAAGAGACACCCGGUCAAGAAGAAGGCCUUCAAGAUGGUCCUCAUCAUCUUGGCCAUCAUUGUGUUUAACUACUUCCCGCCGGUGGCUCUCUUUCCCUUCCGUGAGUGUUUCUCUCCGGAUGUCUUCCGCUGUUAUAUCCACUACAUCGCCUUUGGCUUCAUGGACAUCAGCAGCAGCAUCCAGCCGGUUCUGUAUCUGUCACGGGAGAAGCUGCCCAAAGUCCUGCUCUGCUGCUCCAAAAACACUGAACCAAGCGCUGAUCCCGUUUACACCGUCAGUGGGUGA
ensembl:lncRNA